rnacentral:tRNA from 1 species
GGCUUCGUGGUCGAAUGGUAAAAACACUUGCCUUUCAGCCUGGAGUCCCGGGUUCAAUCCCCGGACGAGGAGCUA